rnacentral:rRNA from 1 species
UACGUAGGGAGCAAGCGUUGUCCGGAAUCAUUGGGCGUAAAGCGCGCGUAGGCGGCCUCAUAAGUCCGCUGUGAAAGUCAAAGGCUCAACCUUUGAAUGUCAGCGGAUACUGCCGGGCUAGAGUCCGGAAGAGGCGAGUGGAACUCCUGGUGUAGCGGUGGAAUGCGCAGAUAUCAGGAAGAACACCAACGGCGAAGGCAGCUCGCUGGGACGGAACUGACGCUAAGGCGCGAAAGCGUGGGGAGCGAACAGGA